rnacentral:lncRNA from 10 species
CCUCCAGAUCCCUCCCAUUCUUCUCCAAGAGGUGUGGAAGGCUAACCUGUAAAGACUAUAACAAAGGGCUUUCCUCUGGCUUCUGGAAGAACAGCCUUAUCAGGAAUAUGGAGAAAAGAGAGUGAGUCAGGGGAUAAAGAUCUUUUGAAGAAAGGUGUGGAGGACUAUAGAAGCCAAAUUCCAAUGUGAAAAUGCACCUUUCAAUUGCACAGACUAGGUCAUAAUGGAGGUGACAGUCAUAAAAGAUUUUCUAGCUCUCAGCAGAGCUGUAAACCGGGACCCCUCAUCCAGGCAGACAGCACAGAAUCUGAAAAUCUGCCUAUCAAAAGCAUCAUUCAAGCCACAAGGCUCUUCUGUUCCUGGUAAAAGGCAGGCAGGAAAAGAGGAGACAAAGAAAAACGUUUAUGAUCUGAAGAUAUGGCCCAAAUCACCAACCACGCAAUUUGUUUUCUGAGGAAAGGAAAGACCUGGUGCAACUUUAUACAAAGAGCCCAUCAUUCAUCCUUGAUCAGGGAUAUUUUCUCCUCCCAGCCACUAAUCUGCUCUCUGCUCUUACAUUUGUACAUUUUUAGAACGAUAUUAAACAUCUGAAGAGUCAUUCAGGGAGCUAAAGUUCACUGUGGUUUGAAGUCUUAUAACUACAAAAUAAUGUUGUUCUAACUGAUCUUUCACAUCAAUGCAGACAAAAGCACUUUGGUAUAUAUGUUUAAGGCUUAACCCUAUCAAAGUCAGGAGGUUCUGAUUAGAGUAUAUUAGGCUUGACACGCUCAAAUGGAAUUAAAUCAAAGAUGGAGUUGCAGUUUCUAUGUUUUAAGUAUCAUAACCUAUACUUGUAUAUAAUAAUAUUAUAAAAUAAUGUUAUUUUAAUUUUGUUGAUUAAUAGAAAGAAUAUUGUCUUAUGAUUGGAAUUUUCCUCCUCUUUGUCAGCAUGGAAAACCUUACAAUAAUAAAUACUAGUCUGAGGAAGCUGAAUGAGGUUGAAGUCUUCAAAUCAUUAUCAUUUUCAUCAUCAUCAUUCUGGUCAGCUUCACCAUCUUCAUCAUUUUCAUCAUCUUUAUCACCAUCAUUUAUUAUUAUUAUCUUCAUUAUCAUUUUCGUCAUCAGUAUCAAUAUUCUCCUUCAUUGUCAUCAUCUCCUCUAUCAUAUAUAGAUUUAGUAAUUUUCCAGUUAGACACAAUGUCAUCUGUUGCUCACAACAGCUCCAUGAGGUAGAAAAAUUGAAGUUGCCUCAUAUGUGAAUUCAACCAUGUGAACAGGGCAAAAAAAUUUAAAAAGAGCAAGAAAUGAAUAUAGUGACUUAAUGGUAUAUCUAAUGCAGUUAUGUGCCACUUAAUGAUGGGGAUAUAUUCUAAGAAAUGCAUCGUUAGGUGAUGGCAUUGUGUGGACAUUAUAGGAUGACUUACACAAACCUGGAUGGCAUAGCCUACUACACACCUUAACUAUAUGGUAUAGCCUAUGGCUUUCUAGACUACAGACCUAUAUAGCAUGUCACUAUACUCAAUACCUUAGGCACUAUAACACAAUGGUAAGUAUUUGUGUAUCUAAACAUAGGAAAAGUACAGUAAAACUACAAUUUUAUAAUCUUAUAGAACUGUCAUUACGUAUGUGGUCCCACACUCACCAAAGCGUCAUUAUGUUGCACAUGACUAUAUACUAUAAAAUUAUAUUUUGCAUAUGUACUAUUUUAUAGAGUGCAUAUUAUAGAUACAUUAUUAUACAUUUACAAAUACUUGCACUGUAUAAUUGUAUACAUAAAACCAUGAGUACACUAUUUUACAGUGACAUAAGCAUUCUUCAAUGAUAAUAUUAACUAUCUCUAAUUUACACUUUAUUAGUUAAUUUAAAAUCUAACCUCUGGGCCAGGUGGCUUACGCCUGUAAUUCCAGCACUCUGGGAGGAGGAGGUGGGUGGAUCACUUGAGGCCAGGAGUUCGAGACCAGCCUGGCCAAAAUGGUGAAACCCUGUCUCUACUAAAAUACAAAAAAAAAAAAGAAAAAAGAAAAAAAAAAUUUAUCCAGGCAUGGUGAUAUGUGGCCAGCAACUCGGGAGGCUGAGGCACAAGAAUUGCUUGAACCCCAGAGGUGGAGGUUGCAAUGAGCUGAGAUCACGCCACUGCACUUUAGCCUGGGUGACGGAGUGAGACCCUGUCUCAAAACAAACAAACAGAAAAAGAUUUUACACAUCUUGGUGAAAGAAGGGCACUGUGUAUGUUCUUUUUGCCUGAUAGUCUUAAAUUUAAGCAGGUAUUAACCAGAACCUACACACACUUUAUAAUUCCCCUUUCUCUCCCUUCUUCCCUAUGACCCUCCCUUUCUUCUUCCUUCUUUGCUUCCUUCAAUUUUUCCUUCUUUCCUUCUCUUCCUUUCUUCCUCUCUUCCUUCUUGCCUUCCCUCCUUCUACCAUAUAGCUUUUGAAUAGCAAGUUAAAAAAAGGAAACAGAUACAUAAACAAGAUAAUUCCAGACAAUGAUCAAUGCUCUGAAGGAAAUUAGGCAGAAUGAUCUGAUAGAAUAUGCUUGGGCAGAAAAAGGUUGAAAUUAUUUUGGACAGUGACUUUACUUCAAACAGGAAAGCGGUGUAAGGAGGUGAGAGUGUGCCCUGUAGUGCAAGAGGCCCUUCCUGUUCCACUCAACCCCCACCAAAGUAAUUUCGGGAGAAAAAAGGAAUCUUGUAUUUGGUUAGUUGCAUUAUCUAUUGUUACAUCUUCUUAUAAGGCAGGCAUGUCAUAUGACAUUGACUGAUGGCUGGCAUGAAGUCUAAGAACCAUAUACAGAUAGAUACCCAUGCUCCUUACCCAUGCUAAGUAGUUAAACUUCAAGAGAUUCAUCUUUCCUUCAGGUUAAAGUUGAAUGGCUGCACUGGCAGAGGGCUACGGAACUGCUAUUCUUGAUGUAGUUAGAGAAAAUGAAUGUGAUUCGUUGUAGACAGUAUCUUUUAAAGGGUAAUAUUUUGCCUGAAAUAUGAAGAGUGAGAAAGAGCUGACUCUGCGAAGAGCUGAGGGAAACACAUUCUGGUCAGAGGGAAAAACUACUGCAGAGGCUUGGUGAGGAAGCGCUACUGUGUUAGGAAGACAGAAAUCAAUGUUUACGUAACAUAUUCACAGGUUCUGGGGACUGGACAUGGACAUAUUUGGCAGGAGCCAUUAUUCUGUCUACAAUUUUAUUCUUCAUCAAAUGGUCAAUUUAUGCAUUUAUUUAUGAUUUCAUUGUCUAUAUUUAAGGUAUACCACAUGAAGUUUUGAUAUGCUUAUCUUGAUAUACAUAUCCAAAGUGAAGUGAUUACUACAGUCAAGCAAACUAACAUACCCAUCAUCUUAUAUAGUUAUCUUUCUGUUUUGUUUGUGUGUGUGUGUGGUAAGAGUACCUAAAAUCUACUCUCUUGGAAAAUUAUCGAUAUGCAAUACAACAUAACUAAUGAUGGUCCUCACAUUAUAUAUUAAAUCUACAGCUUACCCUAUAUAAAUGCAAUUUUGUACUUUUUGAUCUCAUUCCCACCCCCAUUCCCCACACCCGACCCUGAUAACCACCAUUUUAUUCUGUUU